GGUACAUCCAGAGUCAUGGCAAUGAACUUAUUGUGGCAUCAGUAUCUCGGAGGAACCAUGAGCGAGUUUCCAAUCAGUGCCAACGACCCCCUGUUCAUCUUCCAACUUAGUUGGAUGGACAAGUAUGUACUAAAUAUGGGAGAAUAAAUGGUAAAAUCUGGUGAAAGUCAAGUGAUUUUUAAAACAAAAAUGUUUAGAGGUCUAGUCACACUCUUUGAUUUCAGGUAGUAAAAUGUUAUGAAAACCUGGUAUCCAAUGAGUCAAUCGGUAAGGUUUGUAUCAUCAUGUGGAAUUAUACCAGAAAUCCAGGGCCAUCUUGAAUAUUGACCUACCCUGGGCAACCAUUUGCUUGGGCCCCCUGCCCGACAUGCUAACACACACACACACACACACUGACAGACAUACUGACACACAUGCAGACAUAUGCACCACAACCCCCGGCACAGCUAACACUGAGGCACUGGUAGUCACCUACACCUGUCCCUAUGCCCCAGCACCUGUCCCUAUGCCCCAGCCCCUUAAAGUCAGCCCCCGGGUCAGUUCCCCUAUGCUAGUGCCUCGUUACCACCCCUGUAAGUAGACCACCCGUGCUACCCUCCCAAACGAGGUCCCCAGUACUGCCCAGCAUACCCCAGCACCCCUCCCCUGGGGAGGGAGUUUGGGAGGUAGGUAGCGUCCAGCCGGACCCUCCAGGCAUGUAGAGACAGGGCAGACACGGGUUGGGUAGGGAAGGAGGGGGAGCGGUACAUCUGAGGGCAGGGGCUACAAUACCGCAGAACAAGAAGUCAGGUACAACUCCUAUUACCACCAGGCAGUUGGUGGAACCCAGGAAAUAUCAACAUGAGCUGCUGAAGAUAAGUUUUUUUAUGGCCAGGCAUCUCUAAGGAUCUGAGGCAGUAUUGCUAGACCGGUGAUGUCUGCACACGAGUGAGGAAGCAGGGCGACUGGCGCAAGGCCAAGCUCCAUUACCUCCCCAUCAUUGAAGACCCAUUCGGCAGAGUAGCUGUUUAUAUCAUAGGCCCCUUGGCUAAGCCUAGGCCCUCUGGGAAAACCCCCCAAAUAUUCUGACCAUUGUGGACUAUGCGACUCGGUACCCUGAGGCAGUCGCCCUGACCAACAUUCAGGCUGAGACUGUAGCCCCAAGCCCUGAUGCAAGUGUUCUCCCGCAUGGGUUUUCCCCGGGUGAUCAUUUUGGAUUGGGCUCCCAGAUUACUGCCAAAAGGACCAUCCAACUGUGGAGGUUAUGAGACAUUAAACCAAUCCUGAGCUCCCCUUACUACCCUCAGACCAAUGGUCUGUGCGAGCGCUUCAAUGGCACAGUCGAGCCAUUCGAGCUGAUCUUCAGGCAGAGAGUGAGGGGCCCCCUAGACCUUGUCCGAGAGCACUGGGAGGGGGCUGUAGCAGCCAUAAGUGCUCCAGCUUUGGAAGAUUUUGAUAAUCUUCCCCUGCCUGAUCUCCUGGAGGAGGGGACUCCGGCAUGGUCCAUAGACGAGGUCCACUUAGGAGGAUUGGCUAAACGAAGGAGAAUGCCGACAGGCACAGGAAAUGCCAGGUAUAUACCGCACUAGCCACCCAUGGGGAAUGGGACUACCAGGUUCUGUGUGGACUACAGGAGGCUCAACAACAAGACGGUCUCAGAAGCGUACCCCAUACCACGUAUAGAUGAGCUGCUAGAUAGGAUGGCUUGUGGGCCGAUACCUCACCACUAUAGACUUGUGCAAGGGAUACUGGCAGAUUCCCCAAAGGUGAUGCCAUUUGGGUUGAAGAAUGCCCCAGCCACUUUCCAGAGGAUGGUGGACCAGCUGCUCGAUGCCCUCCAUGAGGAUGCCUGUGCAUACCUGGAUGACAUCGCCAUAUACAGAGACACUUGGGAAGAGCAUCUAGUAUACGUGGAAGCUGUACUAGACAGGAUUAGGGAGGCAGGGUUGACCCUAAAACCCAGCAAGUGUCACUUAAGGAUGGCCGAGGUGCAAUACGUAGGAUACCGGAUUGGGUGUGGGUCCCAGAAGCCUUAACCCGACAAGAUAGAGGCAGUAGCUAACUGGCCCCAUCCCCGCACUAAAGGAAGUUACAGGAAGUUUGUCCCCAACUACAGCGCCCUAUCUAAGCCCCUCACCAAUUUUACCAGAAAGACCUUGCCCCGACAGGUAGACUGCAUCCCAGAGUGUGAGUAGGCAUUCCAAGCCCUCAAGAACUCCCUGGUGAAUACCCCUGUCCUGGCUGCUCCUAAUCCCAGAAAACAUUUUCUUGUUCACACAGAUGCCUCCAUGUUUAGGUUAGGAGCGGUAUUUAGCCAGGUCGGCGACAGUGGCAGCGAACACCCAGUGACUUACCUUAGCAGGAAGUUACUCCCCAGGGACGUAAGCUACGUCGCCAUCGUGGAGUGCCUGGCAAACUACAGUCCUACCUUUAUGACAGCAAUUCUCCCUGCUCAUGGAUCACAACCCACUGGUAUGGCUUAAGCGGGUCUUUGGGGACAAUGCCAGGCUGUUGCGAUGGAGCUUGGUGCUACAACCUUAUGACUUAAUCAUCCAUUAUAGACCCAGUAAGCAAAACGGCAAUGCAGAUGGAUUAUCGAGACAGACAGUCCUGGAGAAGUGAUCCGUGAGCACUCUGUUACGGUUGCCUCCAGGCUGGCUGGAAGUUGGACCAUAGAAAGGAUGCUCCUAGCGCUCACCAAAGGACCAUCAGCACCGUAGACACCAUAAGUACUGCAGGCUCAACGAACCACCGCUGCUGGGCUAGGAUCUCCCCGUCUGCUAUCCACCCUGGACCUACGACUAGGCUCCAAGUUCCAGUAGGUGAAUCCCUUCCUUCUGUAGAGCGAAGCAGGAUCAGGAACAAGAGCUCUUACAAGAGCUCAGUAGAUAAGGGAGUAUGAAGAACAUAGCAAUCCCUGUAGUGAUUAUAGCUGUCCCCUACAAACAUGAGUCAAGGCUGCAAGUAAGAGGGUCAAGUCAUUCUGUUUAUUGGCACACAAAGAACCUUCUUUUAUGCAGGUUUCCCUUAGGUAGGACCACCCACAGGGUUUUACACAACAGCCAAUAAUAAACAUACAUUACAGAAACACUCCCAGCAAUUACACACAAAAAUCCUCCCCUCUGCCUGUGAUCUAAUUAUAUUGCACAAUGGGUUAACAUAAUUAAACACAGGCAGUAAAAAUACAGUUUUUAUCCAUACCCUGUAACUUUAAAACCAUACAUCCAAUCUUCAUACAUAUUUAGAAUCAAUCCAUUCAGGGGAGUAACAUAUAAAAAAAUGGCACACAUCAGACAAGGGGUUCAAAAGUUAGCAAAAGUAUCUUUUGGGGCCUGGCUGGCAGUAUGGUUAUCUGGCCCAAACCGGUUUUACAGAGCCCUCUAACCUGGAGACAAUGGGGAAAAUAAUCCAGUUAUAUCCAGGGAUAGAGGCAGACUCCAUUAACCACAUGUUAGCAAAAGACACAAAAAGACACAAAAAUACAUAACUCCUAUCGAACUGAACAGAACCCCCACAUUCAACCUAUCCCCAGAUGGCUUGGAUCUGAGCGCUCAAUAUAUCCAAACAGCGCUCAGAUCCCGAAAUACAGUCAAAUCGCCAUACACACUAGGUCCAUAGUCAUGGGGCAGAAGGCUGGCAAUUAGGCUUCUCCAUAACACAGGGAAGCAGGGCAGUUUGUCAAAUAAAAUAACAGUUACAAAUGGCAGUCUGUAACACACUGCCCCGGACAUCCACGAGCCGAUCCAUUGGGAUCAGACUAUGUGUGCCAGCUUGUGGUUAAGGGGGAGCUGUGUGACAGGAUCGCUGCUUGUUUGUGAAUUGCUGUGUGUUUCCCGUUAUUUUCAUAGGAAUGUGCCUGCUCCGCGUUCGGGAGGUUCUACAGGAAGGGAAUGCAUUCACCUCCUGAACAGGGACCAUCCCAACAACCCAUUUAGAGUGUUGUGUCAUGCUUCUGAUAAGAUAUGAGACUGAAACUAGGGUUAACUUCAGGGUAUUUAUUUUUUUGUGAUCUUUAGACAUUAUUUGUCUUAAAAAUAAUACGAGUUUUAGGACAAAAAGGAAGUGAAGUUAUAAAAACAAAGUGGGAAUGAAAAUUACAGGAGAGUAUUUUGUGUACUAAGAAAUAUAGAUUUAGGCAAUAAGCCCACAGGGUUAACAGGAGAUAGUUAGAAGCAGAACCUAUAAGAUUUUGAGGUAGUAGUAUGAAUGAGAACCUAUAUAGGAAGUUGUAGGUAAUACUAAGAAUGAGAUCCUAUAAAAGGAAGUUAUAGGUAAGGUAACAGGAGACUACAGAAAUAUAAAGUUUAGACAAUAUGCCCAAGUCAGGAUUUUAGUAACAGGAUAACAUAGAAUACAUAUUAGAGAUAAAUAAUGAAAACCUAUAACUGAAAAUCAUAGGUUACAGGUAAAACAAAAUACGACAAAACUAAACAGGACUAUAAAAUGAUAUAGUAAUACAGAUGUCAGACAUUUAGGUAAUAAGCUUCUUUUGGGUUGCAGGUUGUAUAGCACUUUUUUGGAUAAAUGAAUUAAAGUCUUUUAGGAUAAUUGUAAUUGUCUAGCAGGGUGUGGACUCUUAUAGCAGGUUGAACUGAUAUGAGAGGCAGGUGAGAGAAAGUUUGUUCAGGCUAGUGGAGAAAACUGGAACAUUUUUUAAAGAAACAAAUAAAAGAAACAACAUUCUUGGUUGUCCAGAUAGUAACCCUGACAGUUGGUUUAGAACGUUUGCACCUCGAAGUGUCAAAACCACAAACCGCAAAGGAAGCCUUGGCGCAUGCCUCCCACGGGUCCUGGCCCGUUCCUUAUACGAGAGCCAUCCAGGGAGAUCAUUCGCAGAUUGCUUCUCAGCUCGUUCAGUUUGUAUAGACGGGCGGCGGCCAGGGGGAGCAUUCGUGUCCCGAAAGGAGACGCUUCCCUUGAUUCGUUUUACCCAGGCACCCCACGAACGAAGGCUGUUCAUGGCAGUUACCAUUCUGGGGGGUCCCUCAGGGUGGGGUCACUCUUUGGGGACAAUGGCGGUUGUAACGGAUCGCCUGGCACCCCGACUGGGUACCUCCGUUGAAGGAUGCUCCUAGCACUUCCUGAGGACUCCAAGCACUCUGGCAGACACCACAAUCACCGAACCGGAGAAGCGUAUACCGGAGAAGCGUAGACAGUUGAAUAGGAACCAUACGAAUAGGUUUACUCUCCUAGCAGUCAAACUGGAACAGCAUACAAUAAAUCCUUCCCCCAAUAAUGAGACGACACUUCACUUUGAGGGUUAAAACAGGAACUCCUGUGCUGGCACACCCAGCCUGGUUUUUAUUACAGCCUUUCACAUACAGGACCGCCCACAGGGAGGUAUAAAACAACCAAUCACAUAUCAGUUACAUCCCACAUAUUCCCUCCCCUUAUCCUGAGAGGAAACUCAAUUACACAUACAGUUAAAACAUACUUUCUACCCAACUUUCAUAACUUUAAAACCAUACAUCACAUUCACAUAAAAUUACAUAUUCACAAUCAAUCCAUUCAGGGGAACAACAUAUUAAAAAAUGGCAUGAAUCUGACCAGGGGUUCAAAAGUUAGUAAAAGUAUCUUUUGGGCCCUGGCUGGCACAUGGAUAUCUGGCUCAAACAGGUUUUACAGAGUCUGGAGACAAUGGGGAAAGUAAUCCAAUUAUCCAAGGAUAGAGGCAGACUUCAUUGAGCACAUGGUUGCAAAAAGACAUAAAACACUUUAAAAUACAUAAAGUCACCUUUUACACAUAACACACCGACAUUUCACAUAUCCCCAGAUAGCUGGGAUCUGAGCGCACAAAACUACCGAGGAGCGCUCAGAUCCUAUUCACACAGUUCAAUUGCCAUGGAGCCAAAGUCUUUAACUACACAAAUGGGCUCCAUGGCAUAGCUAUCUCGGUUAACACAUUCACAUAAAGUCUAGUCCAUAGUCCAAAGGCAAGAGGCGGGCAAGCAGCCCCCUCCAAGGACACGUGGCGAGGCUGGUUUCGCCACAGCGGUUUGGCUGGAUUUCUGUAACUGGGAGGCCAGGAGGUGGGACGCUUUCCCGCGCUGAGACUCCCAGGUUCAGAUGAUUAUGGGAUGAAGACCCCCUGGUCACCAGAGGUGGGAAAACCUGAGGAUAGGUGGCGAGAACAGGGGACAAAGGGACUGGAGUUGUGUUUCUGUCAGGAGACCCCUGGGAGGGGGAGGGCCCUGGGAGGGUGUGAUCCACCCUUUGUGUGUGAUUCACCCCUUGCAUGGUGAAGAGUAUAAAGCCAAAUGUGGCCAAUAAAGUUGUUGUUGUACCCCCCUGGUUACUGGGUGGGAAAUGGGUCUUUCUAUAUUUUAACUGACCCUUUCUAAGGAAGGACGUGGCUGAGCAGGGGCAACCAGCCAUGUUUCUAGUAGGACCGCUACAACACUGACAGACAUACUGACAUAAAUUUACACUUUUAAACUGACCUUUCAGUUUCCUACCUUGGAGGGUGGUGUUAUGGUUGUCUCAGGCAGUGCAUCACAUACACACAAUUAAUAUAAUACAUACCAGGGUCGCAGGGGUCGCCCCUGCGACCCGGUAUGUACCAACAGUGCCAGCCUCUUCCCCUGGGGGGCCCCAGGAGCCAGCUACCUCAGGGCCACCCCUGAGGCUGGCUGUCUGGGUGGCCGGUGCUCAAGGGAGCACUCUCCCCUCUGUGCUUCCUCUUCAGCUCCCUCGCGCACUGAACGGAUACCGGAGCCGGAAAAUGACGUCAUCUUCCGGCGCCGGCAACCCUAUGCGGCGCCCGAGAGAGCCGAAGACAAAGCACUCAGGGGAGAGUUCUCCCUUGUGCACCGGCCACCCAGACAGCCAGCCCGCCCAGCAGCACCACUUGACCCCAGGGAAUCCCCUCAGCUCUCCAAAAGGUAAGGAGGCUGAGGGGAUUAAAUUUAAAAAAAAAAAUGUGUGUGUGUUAGUGUGUGUGUAUGUUAGUGUGUUAGUGUGUAUCAGUGAGUGUGUCUGUUAUUGGGUGUGUGUCUGCUAGUGAGUGUGUUACUGUGUGUGUCUGUUACUGAGUGUGUUUGAUGUCUGUUAGUGAGUGUUUGUCAGUGAAAGUGUAUGUUUUGUAAGUGAGUAUGUAUGUCUGUCACUGAGUGUGUCUCUGUCAGUAAAUGUGUGUGUCUGUUAGCUAGUGUGUAUGCGUCUGUUCGUGAGAGUAUGUGUGUGUGUCUUCAGCAUUUACCUUUCCAUCCGCCUCUCAGCUCCGAAUGCACAUGCGCGGCAAGAGGAGAAUCGUGGAAGCUCCUCUAGCGGCUGUCAAUGAGACAGCCACCAGAGGCUGGAUUAACCCUCAGUGAAACAUAGCCAUUUCAGCUGCAGGGUUAAAACCAGAGGCACCUGGCACCAAGACCACUUCAUUGAGCUGAUGUGAUCUGGGUGUCUGUAGUGGUCCUUUAAGUGUGUGUGCAUACCGCGGUCGCGGUGUCGCAGCCCUGCAACCCCUGCGACCAGGUGCCAGCCGCCAUGUGUUGCAGCCCCGACCCGCGCCGAGUAAGGGGGAGGGCCCACGGAUCAAUUUUCGCACCGGGGCCCCAUGGGUCAUGUGUACGCCACUGGUCUCAGGAUAGCUGAGAGUUGGACCGUUUGGAUGGAGUUGUCCAAGAUCAUUGAGAGCAGUAGAAAGCUCCAAUUGAGCUCCUAGCCAUCUUCCUGCAAAUGUAGAGUAUCCCUGGCGUUCUUAGCAGAGCUAGUGAUCAACAUUUCCCUACAACACGAGUCGAGGCUGCGAGUUGAGGGUAAGAAGACUGGUUUAUUGAACGGAAAGGCAUUGCUUAUAUACACAUUUUUAGGCCAGAGGUACACCCUCUGGACCUGAUGGUACACCGUGUUACAAGGGACAAUAACCAAUUAGGACAAAGUGCAUCUUUUCAAACCCUCCUUUCUAUCCUGGAGAUAAUUAGCUUAAAUGGUUACAGUAACUUAAUUAUUUCCAGGUACAGGCAAUAUUCUGGUUUUGCAAUUACACUAAAAACCACAUAAAAAUCUAUAACUCAUACAAUAUAUUAUUUAACUUAUACAUUCCACAAAUCCCCAGACAGCUUGCAUCUGAGUGCACAAGAUAUCCGAAAAGCACUCAGAUCUCACGAAUAGGAUAGGAAUGCCAUGGGGAUAAAGUUUGUCUCUAGGGUGGUUCAGUAAAAGCCAACAAUGUUCAGAUAUAGGGUCGGUCUAGCCUCCAGAGUCUCAAAGUACCGAACGGCACAGUGUUCAUUAAUUUAAAUAUGAACAGACAAGGUUUUGGCGAUCCCAGCAGGUUCGUGAUCGAUAGUGUCCGAGAAUGGUACCAGAAGGUUGAUGACUGAGUCCUGCUGGGCUUUCGGCAGUUAAAGAUGGCCACCGCCACGUGUUCGUGCAUACAAACGACAAACACCCUGCCGAUCGAUAAUUCAGCUGCGGUUAACCACAAACCUCAGAUUCUGGGCUGUUAAUAAGGGGCACACUCCUCAGGCAGGGUGGUCAGUCGUUCGGUAAUAGGUUCAGUAGUUUGUUCGGUAAUUUAGAGGUGAACGGGGUUAACAAGGUAAAACCGCAGAUUCUGGGCAGUUACUAGGCGGCACACUCCAUAUGCUGGGUGGUCGGUCAUUUGUACAUACGAAUGACCUGGGGACGGUUUUCGUGGGUUUUAUUAUAGCAAUAUAAACAGCAAAAUGUAGAAAACGUGGCAGACAGAGGGUAAUUUGUAACAGGUGGUUUCCCCAUUGUCCAUUCUGGAGGCUGAAACUGUUGGGGUCUGCCUCUACAGGCCCAGGCCCCCCUCCUGUGCAGCUCCUUUCCUUAGUGGGAGGCAGUGACUCACGGGUGGCACUUCCACUCGGCGCUGACGAAAAUCAAGGGGCCACAACAUGUGCCAGACCCCUGCUUUAGGGUGUCUUAACAUACAGCUGCACUAUAAUGCCAAAAACCUGACCUGUAGAUUAUUUACUAGCAUUUAGGUUACAUGUUGGCUCUUAGUGUGUAUAUUACAAGCAGCUUCCUUGCAUGGUUAGCCACAUAGUUCCUAGGAUGCAGAUUUCCUGUUAUUUACUAACAUGUAAAAACUUUUCUAGUGUGUAGAUUACAUGUUCCAUCUGAAAUCUGUAUAUUUUUGUUUUGUCUUUGUGUGUAUCUUGUCUGUUCCCAGGUCCCUGUGUAUGUCUGGUAUUUACAGUUGCUCUAAGAGAAUCCCUGUUCAUUAUUGUGUCUCUCCACAGACUACUUGAUCUUUGGAUUAAUUUAUACAAUGCUACGUCUGCAACCUACCCAGCCAAUGCGCUCAUCGGACACGCACCGGACGAUUGUAUGCCUCCCUUCCUGCCAUGUAGCAGACACAGAGACCAACUGAAUCCUAGUUUAAGUGCUUUUGGGGUCGGUUAUUCUCUGUUCAAUAAUUUAUAAGGAGUAAAAUACAGACCACCAACCAGAACAAAAAAUUUAAUCUGAUUCAAGCAAACAUAACCAAAUUAUAUUUAGGGUUUAAUAAAUAAAGAUGGGAUAAAAUGAUUUGUAUACAAGGUCAUCAGGCUAGAAACAACGCAUUAGUUGGAGUUUGAUCAUAUAUUAAUUAGCAGUGUACAACCACUCAACAAUGAUCACAGUUUGUGCAACCAACCAGCAUUGAUCACACAGUUUGUGCAACCAACCAGCAUUGAUCACACAGUUUGUGCAACCAACCAGCAUUGAUCACACAGUUUGUACAGACAAUCACCAAAUUAAACUGCAGUCAAUGGAGAGUAGAUCUUUACUUUUAUUUAGAUGUGGGAUUAAGACACCUAAAUCUCUUUAUUACAUUUCCAAGUCAAUUAUUGUAGUGAGAUGGGAGAUCAAUGGUAGGACUAGGGACAGUUAAAGAGGAACUUUGGACAGCCAGAAUUCGAUUUCAAAUAUCGAUAUAUAAAAGUGGUGAUAUGAUGUUGUCUCAGGAAGUAUUUCUUUCAUUUUGUCUGUUUUUUCAGUUUACAAAAUAAUCAAUAGUUUCUAUUUUUAUUCUUGCCAAAUGGUAAAUUCUUAUGUUUCCAAUAAAACUCUCAUAUGGACC